UUAAAAUCUCUGAUCUUAUACUUUCUUAUCUAUAAAAAAGAUGACUAUUGAGGUGCCUUAAAUCUAUGUUCCUAUACAUAACAUAUUUCAGGGUUAUGGAGAUAAUCAGGGGUUGAACCUUUACCUUCUGUACUGGAACCUGUGGAGGUCAGCACAUGGAGUACAAGUUGAGAUGGCACUGUGGAGACUAUUACCCAAUGGAGCAUGCAUGGAUAAGCUUGUAACCUGGGUCAUUUAGAUGGCUCAAGCCACUUUCAGAUAUGGAAUCUGAAGCAGAGAAAGCUUAAAUCACUUGUGCAGAGUUGCCCAUCCAGGAAGUGAGGUAAGAUUGGAAAUCUGGUCUUCUUGACUCCAAAUCUCAAGCACUUUCCACCAUACCAUCUUUACGUCCAAAACUAUCCUCGAAGAUACAAAGAAAGUUGACAAUGGCAAAGUUGGAAAUGCAGAAAUCAUUAUCUCAAUCCCGCUUUGAUCAUCACCUGAGCCUUGAUCUGAUUUGUCUCCCACUUUCAGGGGUUUUCCAUAUUAAUGUUGAACUUAAGGAAGACAAACAAUCAACUUCAUCUACUGUUUCUCAGAACUUCUGAGCUCAAAAGAGAUGCUAGCUUUAGCUUUCCUGAAUAUCAAUAAGUUCUUCUUCUUCUUUUUUAUCAUUGUUAUUUUAUAGUAGUUAUCAAAAAUAAUUAAAUAUAGUGAG
rnacentral:lncRNA from 1 species